UGUGGAUGUUCUUGAUUUUGUACUCCAAGUAAAUGUAUUUAAGAAUGGUUACUCCAACCUCUGAGAAAUCUGAAAGUGGCAGCUGGAAGUGGCAGUUUUCACAGCCCACCUUUUUCAGAGACCACACACAGAGACUACACUGAUUGGAAUCAAGUUUAAAGGCAUGGCUUACAUUCAGGUAAUAAAGAUAACAAAAAUAAUACAAGCACACAAGGGAUAAGAGAGAAUGAGAGAGCAGACAAGAUGACUAAAUUCUGAAACAUGGACAGCUGAACGCAGGGAGUAACAGAGCAGAGAGAAGAAACCCAGAACUCAAGGCUGAUA